rnacentral:rRNA from 1 species
UACGGAGGGGGCAAGCGUUGUUCGGAUUUACUGGGCGUAAAGGGCGCGUAGGCGGUUGAUUAAGUUACUUGUGAAAUCUCUGAGCUUAACUCAGAGCGGCCAAGUAAUACUAUUUGACUAGAGUGCAGAAGGGGCAACUGGAAUUCUUGGUGUAGCGGUGAAAUGCGUAGAUAUCAAGAGGAACACCUGUGGCGAAGGCGGGUUGCUGGACUGACACUGACGCUGAGGCGCGAAAGCUAGGGGAGCGAAUGGG